GCUGAGAGGUUUACACGCUGUGCUGGGGACUGGGGACACAGCUAAGCCGGUGAUCAUAGGCUCACAUCGAAGAAAAUGAGGAAGCGUAUAUUCGGAAUGCGAUGUGGGUCGGCGUGAGGUAAAACGACACAAUGCACAAGAAUGUAUGGUGCCGAUCAUGGUGAUAAUGAUGGUCUGUACAACAUUAACAGUGAAACAGAAAAGCUGACAGAUAAAUGCUCAGUAUGUAAGUCAUUAAGAGACAGAUACAAGGAAAAAUACAAGAAAAGUCCUCGAGAUCAGCAAUACAACUACAUGCAGACUACAACACCAUCAGGGGAAA